UACAGAGGUCUCAAGCGUUGUUCGGAUUCAUUGGGCGUAAAGGGUGCGUAGGCGGCGUGGUAAGUCGGGUGUGAAAUCUCGGAGCUUAACUCCGAAACUGCAUUCGAUACUGCCGUGCUUGAGGACUGGAGAGGAGACUGGAAUUUACGGUGUAGCGGUGAAAUGCGUAGAUAUUCGGAAGAACACCAGUGGCGAAGGCGACUUACUGGACACAUAUUGACGCUGAGGUGCGAAAGCGUGGGGAGCAAACAGG
rnacentral:rRNA from 1 species